AUUUGAUUGUGUUCUGUUCUUUUCUCUCGCAUCCAUGUUGGAAAACUUGUUUGAGGAUGGUGGCGGUAUCACUUCGAAUGAGGACCGCAAUAUAAAAAUAGUUCGCUUUAAGGAUCUAGUUUCAGAUACCGAUAGUAACAUGGCAGUGGAUUCGCCCCAACCACCAGUGGCUUCAUGGAAAUACAAACUGUUGGGGAGGGGAUCUUCUGUUUCUGUUUGUGAAGAGGAGCUGGAAUUCUUGGAGGGUGACAUCAUGAGGACGACUGCCAAUGGAGUCCCUGCGAUUAACUUUUCCGAGAGGAUCCAACAGAUUCUGAUAAGAGACAUGGCAACCACGGUGGUGGUAAAAUUGUUGGGUUCGUAAUUUAGUGUAUUCCACCCUCCAUAACCGGAUCUUCAUUCUUUGGAAACCUACUCAUUCCUUCCAUCUCAUGGAUGUUGAGAACGGCUAUUUUCUUGUCAAAUUUCAGAGCAUGGAAGAUUAUUAAAUGGUUCUCACUCAAAGCCCUUGGAUUAUCUUUGGACAAUAUCUCACAGUCUAGCCAUGGACUCUAGAUUAAAAUCCCCUUCAACCUUCCCGAAUACUGUUAUGGCAUGGGUUCGUUUACCUGGAUUGUCGGUGGUAAUUUAAUUGGUAAGGUAGCUAAGCUCGAUUUUAAAACGGACAGUGGGUCAAGGGGGCAUUUUGCCCGAAUGGCGGUGUUUAUUAAUUUGGAUAAACCUCUAGUCCCGCACAUUUUGGUUAACGACAGGAGCAACAUGUUGAAUAUGAAUCGUUGCCGACGAUCUGUUAUUCGUGUGGUCGUUACGGCCACGUGCGAGACCUCUGCCCCUACAAUGAGGCUACGACAGAUGGUGACCUGGUCAAAGACGCAACCAAGACAGACUUACCUAGGAAGGAGAAACCGGUGGAAUUGCUGAAACCAUUUGGGCCAUGGGUGCUCAUCGAGAGGAAAUCUCGGCGUAAUCCGAGGACUAAUAGAAGCUUAAAUGCAAAAAUCUCGGCUAAGGAAGGGGUGGGUUCCCGAUUUAGUGCCCUAAUGUCUCUAGGGGAAGAUACGACAGUGAUUGAUGCAGUGGCUAUGGGUUUAUCGGGGGUGAAAUUCAAAAAAGGAGGACUUCUAAAGAAAAGGGAUAGGGAAACUCCAAGGGAGGAUUUUAAUAAAUUGAGUGAUUGGGCCAAUCCAACAAAAUUUGUUAUGGGCUUUCAGAUGGGGCUGCGAAAUUGACGGGGGUAACGGACCUAGGCUGGUUGAUGAUGGACGACAAUUUUGGGCCAUUAGUAAAUCUGCAGGUACAGCUUCUAUCCCAAUUGAAUAAGUUUCUAAUUCGCUUUUUAUUUCUUCUUCUCAACAGGUACAAGACACAACAUUGGUGGACCCAACACCGGUGAAUAAAUCAAUAGAAUAUCAUGUAAAUGGAGCGAAUUCAGAAGCUUCAUUGAUUCCUGUAGGCGAAGAUGCUUUAACCCUCGUGUUGGAUGAAAGGGAAGUCGUGGGCCAUUCGGUCAUUAAUGCUCAUUUAAACCCAAUAUUUGAGGGUUUAACAGAAUCGAUGAUUAAAGUAAACUCUUCUGUCCUUAAUCCCUAAAGACUCUCUCCCAUGGUCUUCAAGGAAAAUGAUAGUCCCAAAUUUCUCAAGCCUUUAAAGAAUUAUGGUUCGACUAAAGGUGGUAAAGGUCACCCAGUUUCCAAAGGGCGGGCCUCUGGGAGUAAAGGCGUUUCUAACCGUGCUGGCAAAUCUAUUAAUAAAAUUAUUCGGGAUCGUGGGGACCUGUUUAAAAUUUUUGGUAAUGCAAGGGUCCCUUUGUCAGAUUCAAUGAACUCCAUGAUCUAGCUUAUUAGCUCCAAAAUCGAAAAUAAGUCGGAUAAGGAGACAAGGAAUUAAGAUGAGAAACGCAAAGAAGAUAUUUGAUUGCUGGCAAUAGAGGGUACUUCAUGUAGUCAUGCCAAACUAUCAAGGUGUCGUAUAGUUGGGAAAGGCAAUAUGUCUCAUCUAACAAGGGCAAGGCAAAUGACUCACGAGGUAAGAUGCAGUCUUCAUUUUUAACUGAUUGUUGGGUCAUUUUGAGUAUAAAUGGUUCCGUCUUGAAGGAAGCUGGUUUCGCGGCGGUAAGAGGAAUAGUGCGAGAUCAAUGUGGAGCUUGGAUUUUUGGAUUUAAUAAAUAUUUAGAGAACUGUUCUUUUUUUUACAAUGAGGCGUGGGGUAUUCUAGAAUGACUAUCUCUUCUAAUUGAAUGGAGUUAUGAUAAUGUAUCAAUUCAAUUUGAUUGUCUUGAAACGGUUAUAACUAUUCAGGAGAGGUCUUUUGAAAGGUCCAAUUCUGCUUUGGUUCGAAGCAUUCAUCAGACACUGUCGUGGUUCAAACAGUGGAGCAUUAGACACAUUUCUCGAGAGGAAAAUUCUGAAGCUGAUCAUUUGGUCAAAUUGGUCCAACAUAGAACUUUUGAUUUACGUUUGUUUGAGACCUUCCCGUUGGAGGGGUUGGCCUAGUUUGUGUAAUUAGUUUAUUUAUUCUACUUUCUCACAAAAAAAUUAUUCAUAAAAAUAACAUAUUUUUUGUAAAAUAUAAAAAAAUAUUUUAAAAAGUAUAAGUAUGCAAAUUUUAAAAAAAAUGGAAAUUUAUUUUUUUUAGAAAAUUUUAUGAAAUUUUAAAGAAUUUUUUUGGUAAUUUUAGAAACUUUUUGUUAUGUUAUGAAACUGUUUCUGUUAUUUUUUGUUUUAUUUUGCUUUUAAUGACCUUUGGUGUUGCGCAUCGUUUUGGUUAGUAGGACUUAAGUGAAAUAGUAUGGUUUGCUCAUGUUAUAGAGUAACAAAAAAUGCUACGCUUUGGGCAUCAUUGUUAGUUAAUUGAAACGGUGCGGUUUGAGGGAAGGUUACAGCUGUCAAUAACAGCUUGUGGCUACCAACCCCUUGGUCGUUAUGCACUCCUAUUUCUAGUGGAAAGGGUGUAAAAGGACGAUUAUGGAAUGAUAAUGAAUUUUUCUCUCU